AUUGAACGCUGGCGGCAGGCUUAACACAUGCAAGUCGAGCGAGCGGCGGACGGGUGAGUAAUGUCUGGGAAACUGCCUGAUGGAGGGGGAUAACUACUGGAAACGGUAGCUAAUACCGCAUACCAUCAGAUACGCCUCGAUGGGAUUAGAUAGUAGGUGGGGGAAUGGCUCACAUAGGCGACGAUCCCUAGCUGGUAUGGGAGGAUGACCAGCCACACGGGAACUGAGACACGGUCCAGACUCCGACGGGAGGCAGCAGUGGGGAAUAUUGCACAAUGGGCGCAAGCCUGAUGCAGCCAUGCCGCGUGUGUGAAGAAGGCCUGCGGUUUGUAAAGCACUUUCAGCGAGGAGGCGUUACUCGCAGAAGAAGCACCGGCUAACUCCGUGCCAGCAGCCGCGGUAAUAC
rnacentral:rRNA from 1 species